rnacentral:rRNA from 1 species
UACGUAGGGACCGAGCGUUGUCCGGAUUCAUUGGGCGUAAAGAGCUCGUAGGCGGCGCGGUAAGUCGGGUGUGAAAUCUCGGGGCUUAACUCCGAAACUGCAUUCGAUACUGCCGUGCUUGAGGACUGGAGAGGAGACUGGAAUUUACGGUGUAGCGGUGAAAUGCGUAGAUAUCGUAAGGAAGACCAGUGGCGAAGGCGGGUCUCUGGACAGUUCCUGACGCUGAGGCACGAAGGCCAGGGGAGCAAACGGG